rnacentral:miRNA from 1 species
UAUCACAGCAGUAGUUACCUGA